GACAGAGGAUGCAAGUGUUAUCCGGAAUUACUGGGCGUAAAGCGUCUGUAGGUGGUUUGAUAAGUCAAUUGUUAAAUCUUGAUGCUUAACUUCAAAACUGCAAUUGAAACUAUUUAACUUGAGUAUGGUAGAGGUAAAAGGAAUUUUCAGUGGAGCGGUGAAAUGCGUAGAUAUUGGAAAGAACACCGAUGGCGAAAGCAUUUUACUGGGCCAUAACUGACACUCAGAGACGAAAGCUAGGGUAGCAAAUGGG
rnacentral:rRNA from 1 species